rnacentral:ncRNA from 1 species
UAAUUGAAGAGUUUGAUCAUGGCUCAGAUUGAACGCUGGCGGCAGGCCUAACACAUGCAAGUCGAGCGGUAACAGGGAUCAGCUUGCUGAUUCGCUGACGAGCGGCGGACGGGUGAGUAAUGUCUGGGAAACUGCCUGAUGGAGGGGGAUAACCACUGGAAACGGUGGCUAAUACCGCAUAAUGUCGCAAGACCAAAGUGGGGGACCUUCGGGCCUCAUGCCAUCAGAUGUGCCCAGAUGGGAUUAGCUUGUAGGUGGGGUAACGG